GGGGGAUAUUGCACAAUGGAGGAAACUCUGAUGCAGCAACGCCGCGUGAGGGAAGACGGUUUUCGGAUUGUAAACCUCUGUCCUCAGGGACGAUAAUGACGGUACCUGAGGAGGAAGCUCCGGCUAACUACGUGCCAGCAGCCGCGGUAAUACGUAGGGAGCAAGCGUUGUCCGGAUUUACUGGGUGUAAAGGGUGCGUAGGCGGCUCUGCAAGUCAGGUGUGAAAACCAUCGGCUUAACUGAUGGAGUGCAUUUGAAACUGUGGGGCUUGAGUGAAGUAGAGGCAGGCGGAAUUCCCGGUGUAGCGGUGAAAUGCGUAGAGAUCGGGAGGAACACCAGUGGCGAAGGCGGCCUGCUGGGCUUUAACUGACGCUGAGGCACGAAAGCAUGGGUAGCAAACA
rnacentral:rRNA from 1 species